rnacentral:piRNA from 1 species
UACUGCAUGAAGCUAUGGGAUUAGACUUAG